rnacentral:rRNA from 1 species
UCCCCUUCGGGGACAGGGUGACAGGUGGUGCAUGGUUGUCGUCAGCUCGUGUCGUGAGAUGUUGGUUAAGUCCCGCAACGAGCGCAACCCUCGACCUUAGUUGCCAGCAUUCAGUUGGGCACUCUAAGGUGACUGCCGGCUAAAAGUCGGAGGAAGGUGGGGAUGACGUCAAAUCAUCAUGCCCCUUAUGACCUGGGCUACACACGUGCUACAAUGGGCGGUACAAAGGGCUGCGAACCCGCGAGGGGGAGCGAAUCCCAAAAAGCCGCUCUCAGUUCGGAUUGCAGGCUGCAACUCGCCUGCAUGAAGCCGGAAUCGCUAGUAAUCGCGGAUCAGCAUGCCGCGGUGAAUACGUUCCCGGGCCUU